ACUGCUCAGUAACACGUGGAUAACCUGCCCUGCGGUGGGAAAUAACCCCGGGAAACUGGGGAUAAUGUCCCAUAGGCUACGGAUGCUGGAAUGCUCUGUAGCUCAAAGAUUUAUCGCCACAGGAUGGAUCUGCGGCCGAUUAGGUAGUUGUUGGGGUAACGGCCCAACAAGCCUUUGAUCGGUACGGGUUGUGGGAGCAAGAGCCCGGAGAUGGAUUCUGAGACACGAAUCCAGGCCCUACGGGGCGCAGCAGGCGCGAAAACUUUACAAUGCUGGCAACAGCGAUAAGGGAACCUCGAGUGCCAGGUUACAAAUCUGGCUGUCGAGAUGCCUAAAAAGCAUUUCAUAGCAAGGGCCGGGCAAGACCGGUGCCAGCCGCCGCGGUAACACCGGCGGCUCGAGUGGUAACCGUUAUUAUUGGGUCUAAAGGGUCUGUAGCCGGCCGGAUAAGUCUCUUGAGAAAUCUGGCAGCUUAACUGUCAGGCUUUCAGGAGAUACUGUCUGGCUCGAGGCCGGGAGAGGUGAGAGGUACUUCAGGGGUAGGGGUGAAAUCCUGUAAUCCUUGAAGGACCACCAGUGGCGAAGGCGUCUCACCAGAACGGACCUGACGGCAAGGGACGAAAGCUAGGGGCACGAACCGGAUUAGAUACCCGGGUAGUCCUAGCCGUAAACGAUACUCGCUAGGUGUCGGCCACGGUGCGACCGUUGUCGGUGCCGUAGGGAAGCCGUGAAGCGAGCCACCUGGGAAGUACGGCCGCAAGGCUGAAACUUAAAGGAAUUGGCGGGGGAGCAC
rnacentral:rRNA from 1 species